UACGUAGGGUGCAGGCGUUAAUCGGAAUUACUGGGCGUAAAGCGUGCGCAGGCGGUUUGCUAAGACAGGUGUGAAAUCCCCGGGCUUAACCUGGGAACUGCGCUUGUUACUGGCAAGCUGGAGUGUGGCAGAGGGGGGUGGAACUCCACGUGUAGCAGUGAAAUGCGUAGAGAUGUGGAGGAACACCGAUGGCGAAGGCAGCCCCCUGGGCUAACACUGACGCUCAUGCACGAAAGCGUGGGGAGCAAACAGG
rnacentral:rRNA from 1 species